CUCAGUUCGGAUCGAAGUCUGCAACCCGACUUCGUGAAGCUGGAUUCGCUAGUAAUCGCGCAUCAGCCAUGGCGCGGUGAAUACGUUCCCGGGCCUUGUACACACCGCCCGUCAAGCCAUGAAAGCCGGGGGUACCUGAAGUACGUAACCGCAAGGAUCGUCCUAGGGUAAAACUGGUAAUUGGGGCUAAGUCGUAACAAGGUACC
rnacentral:rRNA from 1 species